ACGGCGAGUGAAGCGGCAUCAGCUCAAAUUUGAAAUCUGGCUCUUUCAGGGUCCGAGUUGUAAUUUGCAGAGGGCGCUUUGGCGUUGGCAGCGGUCCAAGUUCCUUGGAACAGGACGUCACAGAGGGUGAGAAUCCCGUACGUGGUCGCUGGCCUUCGCCGUGUAAAGCCCCUUCGACGAGUCGAGUUGUUUGGGAAUGCAGCUCUAAAUGGGAGGUAAAUUUCUUCUAAAGCUAAAUACUGGCCAGAGACCGAUAGCGCACAAGUAGAGUGAUCGAAAGAUGAAAAGCACUUUGGAAAGAGAGUCAAACAGCACGUGAAAUUGUUGAAAGGGAAGCGCUUGCAGCCAGACUUGCCCGUAGUUGCUCACCUAAACAGUUGUUUAGUGAACUCUUCUGCGGGCAGGCCAGCAUCAGUUUGGGCGGUUGGAUAAGGGACUCUUUCAUGUACCUCCUUUCGGGGAGGCCUUAUAGAGGAGUCGAAGUACAACCAGCCUGGACUGAGGUCCGCGCAUCUGCUAGGAUGCUGGCGUAAUGGCUGUAAGCGGCCCGUCUUGAAACACGGACCAAGGAGUCUAACAUCUAUGCGAGUGUUUGGGUGUCAAGCCCGAACGCGUAAUGAAAGUGAACGGAGGUGGGAUCCCUUUAGGGUGCACCAUCGACCGAUCCUGAUGUCUUCGGAUGGAUUUGAGUAAGAGCAUGGCUGUUGGGACCCGAAAGAUGGUGAACUAUGCUUGAAUAGGGUGAAGCCAGAGGAAACUCUGGUGGAGGCUCGCAGCGGUUCUGACGUGCAAAUCGAUCGUCAAAUUUGGGCAUAGGGGCGAAA
rnacentral:rRNA from 1 species